rnacentral:rRNA from 1 species
GUGUCAGCAGCCGCGGUAAUACGUAGGCAGCGAGCGUUGUUCGGAGUUACUGGGCGUAAAGGGUGUGUAGGCGGUCCUCUAAGUUUGGUGUGAAAUCUCCCGGCUCAACUGGGAGGGUGCGCCGGAUACUGAAGGGCUAGAGUGCGGGAUGGGAGAGUGGAAUUCCUGGUGUAGCGGUGAAAUGCGUAGAUAUCAGGAGGAACACCGGUGGUGUAGACGGCUCUCUGGACCGUAACUGACGCUGAAACACGAAAGCGUGGGGAGCAAACAGGAUUAGAAACCCGCGUAGUCC